UGGUGGCCCAAAGUGGGGCUUUUCAGCUUUUCCCUGAUAGGUUCCCUCUUUCUUACUAGGCGCAUGUUGAUUGGCUGGCUCCAGGUGGCCUGAUAAUCAUGUUACCCCAGAAAACCAGGCCUACUCCUAAUCUAGGCUGCCUGUCAUGGCAUUAGCCCUGGCAGCC